UCCUUGGUGGUCCAGCGGUUAAGACUCUGCACUUCCAAUGCAGGGUUUGUGAGUUUGAUCCCUGGUCAGGGAA
rnacentral:tRNA from 1 species